GUUACAAUGUUCUUAACGCGUGGAAAUUAGUCUUGACCAGGAAACAUCUAUAACGGCAUGUAUUUUCUGCCGUGAUUGUAAAUCUGUUUGGAACAUGCGGUUUGUCCGUUAAUCUAGGCGCUGUUGUUCAAUUGAGUCAAUAUUAUUUGUUGGUAGAUUAGUGUGUGCAAGAGCGCUCUAUCCAUUAUUGACCAAUUCGAGCACGUAUUGGUAAAUUUCACACCGGCAAUUACGGUGAAAUCGUUCGUGGUCGCUGGAAAUUGGCAGUAUCGUUUGCGGUCGUGAGCUGAUUGACACUGCGUGAGCGGGGAAUUAUGUGAAGCAGCUUUGCUUUGUCGUUUCAUGCAUUUAAUAGGUUUACGGCGGUGGACAGAGUUUGUAAAAAAUGAAGACAAGGAGUAACAAGUACCUGCAAAAAUCAUCCAUCAGCCGGAUAUGUGCUGUCGGAGGGUUUUUCAUUAGCAUUCCCGUCUUUCUAACUGGUAUGAUAUUGUAUACAUUCAUCCAGUUUCAUUCGACGCCGGUGUCACGUAAAAUGGAUACUUGGGUUGCGAGAGAAAAGAAAGCUGAGUCGCAGCCCAACUAUUAAUUCUCUUUUAUCGAACUUUAUUAUGACUUUGGCACUUACAGUAGAAUAAUGUUGAACAGAGAA